rnacentral:lncRNA from 1 species
AGGUGAUAUCUGUUGGUCCUGGAUUGAGGAGCAAUGAAGGGAAAACUAUCCCACCAUCUGUAAAAGAAGGGGACACUGUGCUUUUGCCGGAAUAUGGGGGUACCCAAGUCAAGCUUGCUGACAAAGAGUACGAUAGAUUUUCACUUGACUCUGUUUUGCAGAUUUCAUUUGUUUAUUUUCAUGCUAUUUAUUUAUUAUAUAUUUGGUGGGUAUUGUACAGGUUUUACUUAUACAGGGAUGAAGACAUCUUGGGCACUCUACACGAGUAAUUGAUUGUUUGGUUUCUGUAUUGGAAGCUUAAUUUAGGCCUUGGAUCUCAUUGAUGUAACUUGUAAACAUUGAAGCUUCUUAAU